rnacentral:rRNA from 1 species
CAAUAGCGUAUAUUUAAGUUGUUGCAGUUAAAAAGCUCGUAGUUGGAUUUCGGGGCAGCCUGGCUGGUCCGCCGCAAGGCGAGUACUGGUCAGCCGCCCUUCCUCUCGAAAGCCCCGACUGCUCUUUAUUGCAGUGGUCGGGUAGUUCGGGACGUUUACUUUGAAAAAAUUAGAGUGUUCAAGGCAGGCCUACGCCUGAAUACAUUAGCAUGGAAUAAUGGAAGAGGACCUCGGUCCUAUUUUGUUGGUUUCCAGGACCGAAGUAAUGAUUAAGAGGGACAGUUGGGGGCAUUCGUAUUUAAUUGUCAGAGGUGAAAUUCUCGGAUUUAUGAAAGACGAACAACUGCGAAAGCAUUUGCCAAGGAUGUUUUCAUUAA